UGGGGAAUUUUGGACAAUGGGCGAAAGCCUGAUCCAGCAAUGCCGCGUGUGUGAAGAAGGCCUUCGGGUUGUAAAGCACUUUUGUCCGGAAAGAAAUCCUCUGGGUUAAUACCUCGGGGGGAUGACGGUGCCGGAAGAAUAAGCACCGGCUAACUACGUGCCAGCAGCCGCGGUAAUACGUAGGGUGCAAGCGUUAAUCGGAAUUACUGGGCGUAAAGCGUGCGCAGGCGGUUUUGUAAGACGGAUGUGAAAUCCCCGGGCUUAACCUGGGAACUGCAUUCGUGACUGCAAGGCUAGAGUAUGGCAGAGGGGGGUAGAAUUCCACGUGUAGCAGUGAAAUGCGUAGAGAUGUGGAGGAAUACCGAUGGCGAAGGCAGCCCCCUGGGCCAAUACUGACGCUCAUGCACGAAAGCGUGGGGAGCAAACAGGAUUAGAUACCCUGGUAGUCCACGCCCUAAACGAUGUCAACUAGUUGUUGGGGAUUCAUUUCCUUAGUAACGUAGCUAACGCGUGAAGUUGACCGCCUGGGGAGUACGGUCGCAAGAUUAAAA
rnacentral:rRNA from 1 species